rnacentral:tRNA from 1 species
CUAGCUGUAGCUCAGUUGGUUAGAGCGCUGCACCGGAAUCGCAGGGCCGUAGGUUCAAUUCCUACCAGAGG